rnacentral:lncRNA from 1 species
CUCGUUUCCCAGUACGUGAUUGAGAACAUGUGAAUGAAUCCGCGGGGACUGAACUGCCGCUGACCCCCAGGGAGCUGGGGGGGGGUUUGGUGAGCUGCGCUUCAGCCGCUAAAGCUCCUGCGGUUCCUCCUGACGGCUGAUAAGGAGGGAUCGAGUUUAUGAAAGAGAUGAAGAUGUUUGGAUAAGGCCCUGGAAUCGUGAGAACUUCCAAUGACUUGGCAAAUCGCUCUGAAUCACUGACGUUUGGCGGCCACCUCCACCCAUGCCUGUCCCUUGCCUGCUCCCUCGCCGGGUGUCAGUUCUCGAGCCUACGUGCUGAGAAGAGAAGUUAAAAAGGUAAAAGUCUGUAAUCUGAUCCCACGGUGACCUGUCUAAUCCUGUUCCCUGGUACAGUGAGAGCUGAAAUACUUGUACUGCAAAACAAUGGCUUGAGGAGGCUACGGAAGGAAGAUGAGAAUCUGCA